ACAGGGACCAAAGCAGUGCCCGUGACAGUGACCCAGCCCACGCCGCGGCCCUUUGCGGAAAGGAGAAAGAAAAGCAUCUGGGCGCAGAGCCAGGCCCUCACGCAUCCAUCGGGGCGGAGCUUCCGGCGCCAGGGGUGGGCUGACCCCCCACCUGGUCCCCGGGGGGCGGAGCCCUGUACCUGCCUGCGGGGUGGCGCACGUGGCCAGCCCUGCUUCCUGGGCCUCUGUUUACAGGGACCAUAAUUACAAGAUUAACGGAGGCGAGAUAUCCUGAGGUGGGAAGGCCCUUCCUCUCCGGGUUGCGCGCCCGUGAAUCUUCGGGCAACAGAGCUAGGGGAGGCAGGCCUGUGUGUCGUGACAGCUUCCCCCCAGGGAUGGCAGCCGGCCUUUCACGCUUCAGGAGCCUUCAGAAGCUUCUGGGAGGAGCCCCGGGUUCAGUUUAGAGAAUUACCGCUUCUCCUUUACGCAUCGAAUGGGCUCGGGCCACUCGGAUCGCAGAGGCCAGAACGUGACCCAGGUCCGGUCAGCAAUGGUCACCAGGACUGGGCCAGGGGUGGGCACCUGAGCCAGUUGGAGCCAGGAAGAGCCAGCUCUGGAACUUUGUUGGAAGCAUCUGGAAAGGGAAGCUCCCUUUGUGCCGGGCUUGCUGGGGGCACCUCCCUGCCCACCCAUGUGGCUCCAGACGUGUCUACGUGCCUACCAUGACCCUGACCGCAUCAAAGGAGUAACCAAGGUGACCCUGGGAUAUUAGACACCGGCUUCAUGCUAUGAAGUCCAUCUGUGUGGAAAGCCCCAGAAUCUCAGAGCAUCCAGCAAGCUCCUGGGAGAGAGGGAAGAGAAGGGGAGGAGAGAGAAGGGGAUUUCCGGAUUCUUCCUGAACAUUCGUGACCACCCUGGGCAGCAGCCUGACAGAUAAGUAUUCCAACUUACCAGUUGCCCCCCCUGCCCUCUCUAGGUCCGUGCAUGAAAGCGUAGAAUCUCUCACGAUCCUGUGGGAGGGAAAUUGGCGAGGCCACUUUUCAACCUCUCCGCGUCACAGACCAAGCCCUUGUCCCCAUUAUAUGGGGCCCCAGACAGGGGCGUUUCCACUCCGCUUUUUGGCACGGAAGCCAGCAUUUUGUCAGUUCCGCCAUGAGGACCUUCUGUAGGCUGGAGUUUGGCGACCUCCUCUUGAGUCCCCGUCGAUCUGGUGUCAGAAGGAGUCAGAAGGAGACUGGGGACUCUGGGCGGCUCUUCUCAGUUCUGGCCCUUUGUCAUCAUAUUUGUGAGACUUGGCCAGGGCCCCCUUUACCUGGCAGUUGGGCGGGGAGGCCGACACUGUGAUGAUGGGCCACGUUCUCCUCUCCGGGUCUGGACCCGUGUCCCGAGUCUCAGGUGCCUGUAGAGAGUGCUGGGCGCACACUGAGCGGUCCCCUGACUCUCCCGGCACGGGUCUGCCAGCUGAUGAAGAUAGCUUAGCUGUCACCAGGAGCAAAACCCGGGACAUGAUUCUGGGUCAGGGUUAGCAGGCUGACGGGGACAGAUGGGGGCAGAAAAAUAACUGAGGGUGAGCUGUAGCCCCCCCCCCCCCACAUUUCCUGUCCACUGCCUCAAACUGUGGGUUAGUAUUGUGCACUCUGAGUGAACGCAGGGCUGGAAGGAUCCCAAGGCUGAGAGAGAGAGAGAGAGAGAGAGAGAGAGGCAGGCUUCCCAUGGCUACACGAGAUGGCAGAGCUGAAUCUGACCUCUGGAUCCCUGACUCUGGUCCCUGCCUCCACUCGGCUGUUGCCAAGCUGACCUUGCCUUACUUUGUCCUGGGUCCCCUUCUGCUGUUGCUGGGGAACAGGGAGGUGGGUGAAGGAGCCCCCCCCCCCUUAUCCCGAGGACAUUCUGGGGUGGGAGGAAGGGAGGUGGAAGGGGGAUGUGCCUGGGCCCAGCCUCCCUGGCUCUGGGGGCCUUCUCGUUAGCAGAGAGUUCUGGCCAGUUCGGGCGUGGAGAGGGGGCCUGGGUGCAGUUUCCUCCUGCAGCGUGGUGGGCUUUUUUGUCUUCCAGGAUGGGAUCUACACGGAGAAGGAGCGGGGAGCUGGGCCUGGGCUGCCAACAUGUUGUCUGGGUGCAGCCAGGUGGCUCAGCCCGGCCCCGUCUCCAGGACUCCUGCCUGGUCUUCCCUUUGGAGCCCUGGUGACUCUGGACUUUGGCCACAGUGACGCAGGGAGCAGCCUUUGGUGGUUUUCUCGGACUCUGGACAAGUCCCCAAAGCCGUCAUCCUUCCACUGAGAUAAAGGCCCCUCCUGGCUGGCGCCCGGCUGAGGACAGGCCGUAGCUCCGGAGGACAGCCCGAGGGAGGGGUGUGAGGGAGCCUGGCUGCCCACUGCCCCUCUGUGUCCCACCUGGACCCCGCCUGUUGGGGCGCCCGUUGCCGUCUGGGCCUGGAGGCUGCUUCUCGACCCCAUGCCGACUCGAUUCCUAUCUGUGGCCCUGCCGGUGGCCAGCCGGAGCCCCGCCUGGGCCAGGGCCCCACUGACUGCACCCUUGCCACAGCUGGACGCUACAGGAUGGUGCAGGGACACAGGGAUGGGCGUCGGGGUGGAGCUGCAGGGAGGACAGACGGCUUUGUGGGCUCCGUCAGCUGGAGUCCGUCUUGCGUCCUUUGCCUUGAGUGGUUCUCAUUUUUGUGGGUGCUCUUUGGAUGAGGCUUUUCUGCGCUUCUCCUCUGCCUCACGGUCGCAGGGAGGAGGCAGGCAGGGUCUGGGAGGAGCCCGGGCCUCCCCCCCAGUGUUGUUGAGGUCUUGGAGGGGGGCAGUUGGAGGGGCAGAAGGUGCCCGAUCCUGAAAGGGGAGGGUUUGCAAGAGAUGAGGAAGCCCAGGCCAGGAGGGAGACGACAAACUGAGCCUUAUUCCCACCGUCCAAAGGGCCCGGGCUGGAUCCAGCCUUGUCCCCAGGCUUGAGGGGUCGGGUCAGCCCGGCCUGCUGACAGACCCCCUGUUUGCUGUUGCACUCGUCUUUCAUUCUGUCCUGGGGGGGGGGGGGGCAAAGGCAGGCAGGGCGGGCCGCACGCACAUGUGGCGCCCCCCCCGUCAAAGGCUUACCUCCAUAAGCAUCUCUCCAUUCUCCCCUCGUUCUGGCCCCUCUGGAGGGGACGGUCUGGUGCCUGCACAGGAGGGGCCCGUGGCCUUCCAUAGGCAAGCUUCAAAGCUGGGAGGGCUUUUCCCGGGGUGGAGAGGGGGCCUGUGUUAGCUCGAGCCCCUGUGACAGAAUAGCGCAGCCUGGGCGGGGCGGGGCUCAAACAGCAGAAAUGUGUUUUCUUAUAGUAGUGGCAGCUGGAAAGCCAAGAUCAAGGUGCCAGGGUUGGCUUAUCCUGAGGCCUCUCUCCUCGGCUUGCAGAUGGCCACCUUCUCGCUGUGUCCUCACGUGGCCUUUUCUCUGUGCACAUGUACGGGGUGGGUGGGGGGGAGCGGAGUGAGGCGGAGGGACAGAUGUGGUGUCACUUCCUCUUUUUAUAAGGAGGCCGGUCCUAUCUUAUUAGGGUCCCAUGCUUAUGGCCUCGUUGAACCUUAAUGUCCUCGGUAAAAGCCCCAUCUCCAAAUAUGGCCACACUGGGGGUAGCCAUAUGGCUUCAACCUACGGAUUUGGGGAGGGGGACACGAUCCAGUCCAUACAGGUAGUCACGGCAAAUGUGGAAAGCGGGAGCCAUCUUCCUUCCGGCAUCCCCAGCGCCGCGGGGUGGGGAGCGGGGGGCAUAAAGAGCAGAGGAACGGGGAGUAGGGACAGAGUGCAAGGGGCACCAGGCUGGAUGGUCCCCGUGCCUUGGGGACAAACGGAACUGGCUGGACCAGGGCAGCGAGAGGGAGUCCCAGGAGAAGGAGGGCCUUGGAAGAGCCUGGGCUUUGGAGCCCGAGGCUGCAUCUCUGCCACUUAACCUUGGGCACGUGACCUCAUCUCUGUGAGUCCGAUGUCCACUCUGAAACAGCAGCCAUCUGUUCAGCUGGGGGGGGGGGGGGGGUGGCGUGUGGGGAGGGUUCAGUGUAGGCCCCUGCCUGCCCAGGGCUGGGCUCCUGGCUGGUUGCUCACGAUACACUCCCAUCGCUUUCGGGGUUUAGAUUUAGGGCUUGUGGAGUUUUGGUGCCCUGGAGGUGCCAACCCAGCAUCUUCUGACCCAGAAGCACUUCCGUCUGACUAGCCCUUCCCCUGCCGUCCAUCUCGAAUCAGCUUGGGGAAGUGGCUGCACUGCAUGGCCUUCGGAGUAGCUCCGAAUGCCUCCCGGGGUAUCCUCUUAUCAGGAUUGAGCACCUACUCUGGGCCUUUUUCUGUGCUGGUCACUUGCAGC